ACCUCCGAGGAGCGCUGCGAGGCGCCGGGCUGUCCAGCCCAGGCCCCCAGGCUCGGACCCCGCCGCCACGGUGGGUUGCAGUUCAACGGCGCUCACCCUGC
rnacentral:ncRNA from 2 species